GCAUAGAGAACAAAUAGGCCAAUAACCAAAUGCUGUCUUGUGUUUCCUUAUAUUAUCUAUUUUUCUUUGACAACUGCAUAGCUACACCCAGAAAAGUAGUAAUUAUAUCCAGAACCCAAAGAGGUCCAUCAUAACAUGAAAAUGUUGUGACAUCAUAGUCCUUGAUUAAGGAAUUAUAAUGAUGGCAGAGGUUAAAGCCACAGUGCAAGACAGGCAAGGGAAGAGAAGAGCCUCAAAGGAGAGUUUCUUGCUCAAAAAUGUACAAAACUUUUUCAUUUUGAGGGAGAAUUAUCAAAAGGACUAUCAAAAGAGACACCAAUCAAAUUGGAUAAUUUUGCUUUGACCAUUAAAUAUUUGUGGCUGUGUAAGGAGGAAAUGCAGAUUUGCUUCUGAGCCAGCUGACACAGCAAAAUGGAAAUCUGGACUGUCCCUUACUCAGCUGCACAGAGAACCUUUUCUCACUGCUUUCUGUUUUGAGUCAGUGCAUGAUGACUUUAGUAGUUACUUAAUUUGUGCUAAUUACUUUGAGGAACAGCUUGGAUGGGUCUGUAUGACUUCUUUUACGGAAUUAGUGUUAAGUGCC
rnacentral:lncRNA from 14 species